UGCAUUUGUCAUCACACCUCUUCACCCAAAUAAAACAAAUAUAUAUUACCGCUUGCUUUUUUUUUUCUUGUUUAAAAAAAUGUAUUCCUUCACAUGUGGCUGGCGGCUAAAUGAAAGCAAAAUAACACUUCUCCCUUCAACCGUGUGAUAAGCAUUGAAAAGCAUGAAUAAAAUAAGCAGCUGCUAAAAGAAAUUGAGAGCUAAAUGUGAUUCAGCGGUUCACCUCAAUUAAGUCCACGCCUCCCAUUGAAUGAAAAAAAAGUAAAUUCAAGAGAUAACCUUCUACAAUUAACGUUUUUAAUGCAACAAAAUAAAUAUGCUUCAGCCUUCUUCCGACACCUACAACCUAAAGCAAAUAAAUCCGCGCCUCCCU
rnacentral:lncRNA from 1 species